rfam:Schistosoma mattheei strain Denwood, Zambia genome assembly, scaffold: SMTD_scaffold0010843
CUCCAGCCGACGAGUCCCAAAUACGACGAAACGCGCGUCCUGGAU